UACAGUGUACGUGCUGUAAGUCAGUACUGUAACUACAAACCGUGAUUGGAUGACUUAUUGGAAGAUAAUGGAAAGCCAUUUCUAUGUUACGGCACACUGUACAGUGUAUGUGCUGUAAUUCAGUACUGUAACUACAAACCGUGAUUGGAUGACUUAUUGGAAGAUAAUGGAAAGCCAUUUCUAUGGUACAKUGUACAGUGUACGUGCUGUAAGUCAGUACUGUAACUACAAACCGUGAUUGGAUGACUUAUUGGAAGAUAAUGGGAAGCCAUUUCUAUGUUAUGGCACAUUGUACAGUGUAUGUGCUGACCACCUCACAAGCACCAAUAUCUGAUAAAACAAACAUGUCUCAUUCAAAAUUCCAAAUUCAAAAAUCUGCAUUWUGUUUGAGUUGGAUUUUUUUUCCUUGCCCCCUUAACCCCGUGCCUAUGCCUCUGGAUAGGAUACUGGACUUCAGUCAGAGAAAGAAAAUGCUGCCCACUCCAACAGCCAAUCAAAACGCUUGAUUUUUAGGAUACCGGUCCAUAAAAAGAUAAAACUAUUAUGGAACUACAGGUCUUUGGGAUAAGAUAGGAAUAUUUUAUGGACCUUAACAGUUGUAUACAUACGCAGUGCAAGAGACUUGUGCUGUUGUCUUAGAUCUUUCAGUUCUACUGAUACAAAAUUCUUCAUGUCUGUCACAGAAGACAAUUCAUGUCUUUUCUAGUGAAAAUCAAAAAAAAAAAAAAGGCCAAUAAGAGAAAGAAAGAAAA